GAGUUUGAUCAUGGCUCACAUUGAACGCUGGCGGCAGGCUUAACACAUGCAAGUCGAGCGGGGAAUGGUAGCUUGCUACCUGACCUAGCGGCGGACGGGUGAGUAAUGCUUAGGAAUCUGCCUAUUAGUGGGGGACAACAUUCCGAAAGGAAUGCUAAUACCGCAUACGCCCUACGGGGGAAAGCAGGGGGUCUUCGGACCUUGCGCUAAUAGAUGAGCCUAAGUCAGAUUAGCUAGUUGGUGGGGUAAAGGCCUACCAAGGCGACGAUCUGUAGCGGGUCUGAGAGGAUGAUCCGCCACACUGGGACUGAGACACGGCCCAGACUCCUACGGGAGGCAGCAGUGGGGAAUAUUGGACAAUGGGCGAAAGCCUGAUCCAGCCAUGCCGCGUGUGUGAAGAAGGCCUUUUGGUUGUAAAGCACUUUAAGCGAGGAGGAGGCUACUUAGAUUAAUACUCUAGGAUAGUGGACGUUACUCGCAGAAUAAGCACCGGCUAACUCUGUGCCAGCAGCCGCGGUAAUACAAGGG
rnacentral:rRNA from 1 species